UACGUAGGUGGCAAGCGUUGUCCGGAAUUAUUGGGCGUAAAGCGCGCGCAGGCGGUCCUUUAAGUCUGAUGUGAAAGCCCACGGCUCAACCGUGGAGGGUCAUUGGAAACUGGGGGACUUGAGUGCAGAAGAGGAAAGUGGAAUUCCACGUGUAGCGGUGAAAUGCGUAGAGAUGUGGAGGAACACCAGUGGCGAAGGCGACUUUCUGGUCUGUAACUGACGCUGAGGCGCGAAAGCGUGGGGAGCAAACGGG
rnacentral:rRNA from 1 species